CAGUGCAUGUGUGUGUAUUUCUUACAGAAGUGGCAUUGAGUCUCAACAACAAUGAAGUGAAUAUAUAUGGCAGAGCUGCAUCAGAGUGGAAGCUUCAGGAAACACUCCAGGGUCAUGAUCUGCGUGUCACAGGCAUUGACUGGGCUCCCAGCACCAAUCGCAUUGUUACAUGUGGAGCAGUGACCUUCCUGGAAAUUACCGAGACUUAGUGUGCUUUGAAAUAGUCCUCUGGAGAGUGGGUCCAGGACUUACACCUGCAAACUUCCUGUUUCUUGGGUUGAGAAAAGAUGUAUACUACUCCCACGAGGAAAGAACGGCUAUCUUUGAUUAUAUCG